rnacentral:rRNA from 1 species
ACGGGUGAGUAACGCGUGGGAAUCUACCGUGCCCUGCGGAAUAGCUCCGGGAAACUGGAAUUAAUACCGCAUACGCCCUACGGGGGAAAGAUUUAUCGGGGUAUGAUGAGCCCGCGUUGGAUUAGCUAGUUGGUGGGGUAAAGGUCUACCAAGGCGACGAUCCAUAGCUGGUCUGAGAGGAUGAUCAGCCACAUUGGGACUGAGACACGGCCCAAACUCCUACGGGAGGCAGCAGUGGGGAAUAUUGGACAAUGGGCGCAAGCCUGAUCCAGCCAUGCCGCGUGAGUGAUGAAGGCCUUAGGGUUGUAAAGCUCUUUCACCGGAGAAGAUAAUGACGGUAUCCGGAGAAGAAGCCCCGGCUAACUUCGUGCCAGCAGCCGCGGUAAUACGAAGGGGGCUAGCGUUGUUCGGAAUUACUGGGCGUAAAGCGCACGUAGGCGGAUAUUUAAGUCAGGGGUGAAAUCCCAGAGCUCAACUCUGGAACUGCCUUUGAUACUGGGUAUCUUGAGUAUGGAAGAGGUAAGUGGAAUUCCGAGUGUAGAGGUGAAAUUCGUAGA